CACCACCCAAAGCCAGCGUCUGCUUUCUGUCCUCAUUUCCUUUUCCCACCCAGCUCGGAGAGCAGAGAAAGGCAGAGAGAGCGAGAAAUAGAGACAGGCAGGCAAACAGACAGACAGACAGAACGGGAGGGAGGAGGGCGGCGGAGGAGGAACAGGAGGACUACGCGGGGCGCGUUCCCUCCCAGCAGCCGUGCGCCCGCGUCGCUGCCGCCGCGGGAAGACAGACGCCCCCCAAAGCCCCUCGCCUGGCUCGGACUCACGGAGCCAGCAGCCCAGCACUCCGAUGGGAGCUUGCCUGAUUGUCUACCCAUCAACCUGGACCCCAGAGCCUGCCCAGCUGAGUGUGUGCAGAGGGUCCCAGGUGAGGGGCGCUGCUCAGGCCUCUGCAGAGACCACCCUGGAGACACUGACAGAGAGAGGCCUUUCCUACUGAGCCUGGCCUCUCUGCACAGCCUGUUCAGGCGCUGUCCACGGCCCGAGGCCUGGACUCAGGCCGAAGUUGCUCUGCAGCAUCCCCAGCUGACAGCCAGCGAUUGGCAGAGCCCCCAGACACGGGGGGCCCUCUCACUCCCAGAGAUCUCCAGUGUGACAGCCCAGGCGGCAGAGCCGAGGGUGAGUGGCCAGGGUUCUUCUGCAGUACUGGGGUUAGGGGCAAGAAGGAGUAAGGCCAUAUCUGUGAUGGACUUUCUGGGCCUCUUAAGUUUGAUCUGGAGUGAUCACCUCACCCUCCUGAUGGCCUUCCCUCUCCAAGGCAGGGGUCCUAUUCUCCCUGAGCUCAUAGACAGGGUAUAGAAGGGCACGAGCUGUCUGUCCAUACAUGGGACUGGGGCCUGUGAGUGAUUCACUGUGCACAGAGUGUUUGGGGGAAGGCUGAAGAUCCCCAAGGGAAUUAGGCUUGGGGCUGGGGCUAGAGUUUGGUAAGGGUGAUGAGACUUUGGGGAGGGGUCCAGGGGUUCAUUAUGAUCAGGG
rnacentral:lncRNA from 1 species